rnacentral:lncRNA from 1 species
CAGGCCGUGGGACAGCUGUGGCCUGGGGACACCCUGAGCCUGGAGCUGGUCGGGGACACGGUUGGGGACAGCGCCGGGGACGCGGGCGGGUGGCAGCUGGAGCAGGAGGAGCGCGAGGGGAACUUCGUGGGGCUGCUGCGGAUCGCGGGAGGGUGACACCGGGUGGUGGCACCGGGUGGUGGCACCGGGUGGUGACACCGGGUGGUGGCAUCGGGUGGUGGCACCGGGUGGUGACGCCGGGGUGGCGAGGGGGUGGCGAGGGGGUGGCCGGCCUCGUGUCCUGCCGGUCACCUGCCGGGGUGGGGCUUGGGGACAUCUGGGAGUCCCGAGUGUGGAGGUUUGGGGACAUCAGGGGACAUCGGUGACAUCCAGACCCAGAGAUUUGGGGACAUCAGGGGACAUCGGUGACAUCCAGACCUGAAGGUUUGGGGACAUCGAGGGACGUCGGUGACGUCCAGCCCCGAAGGUUUGGGGACAAGGGACAUCGGUGACAUCCAAGGCUGGAGAUUUGAGUGACAACAUCUCGGUGUCCAGAGAUUUGGGGACAUCAGGUGACAUCGGUGACCUCCACACCCAGAAAUUGGGGACAUCAAGGGACAUUGGCGACAUCCAGACCCAGAGAUUUGGGGACAUCAGGGGACAUCGGUGACAUCCAAGGCUGGAGAUCUGGGUGACAGAACCUUGUCCCCAGAGAUUGGGGACAUCGAGUGACAUCACUGACCCCUCCCCCAUUUGGUGCUUGGGGACAUUUGGGGACCUCAUGGACCCGGUGCUGGACACUUGGGGACAUUUGGGGACAUUUGGGGACCCAGUGCUGGACACUUGGGACCUCCUUGGGGACCUUGGGGACACUUUUGGGAGGGAGGUCCCUGCUGUCCUUAAUUAUUCUUUUUCUUCAUUAAUUAUUUAUUAAUGAUUCUCCUUAAUUAAUUAUUUAUUAAUUAAUGAAUAAAUUUAUUUAUGGAUUCUUUUUACCGCCUGGAUUGUCCCCAAAAAUCGGGGGUGACAACCCUGGGGUGGCACUGAGGGGACAUCGGGGGGUCCCCACCUGCAAACCCUCCCCCAAAUUUAACCCCAGAACCCCCAAAAAUUUGCCCCAGAAACUCCAAAAUUUGCUGAAAAUCCCCCCAAAUUUGCCCCAAACCCCCAAAUUUAUCCCCAGAACCCCCCAAAAUUUGCUGAAGAUCCCCCAAAAUUUGUCUUGGAGUCCCCCAAAUUUAACCCCAGAAGCCCCAGAUUUGCCCCAGGGUGUGGGGACUCAAAACUCUGCACCCCAAAUUCUGCACCCCAAAUUCUGCACCCCAAACUCUGCACCCCAAACCCUCCACCCCACACUUCCCACCCCAAAAUUUCGCAACCCAAAUUCAGCACCCCAAAUUUUGCACCUCAAUCCCCACACCCCAAACUCUGCACCCCACAUUUCCCACCCCAGAUUUUUCACCCCAAAUUCUGCACCCCAAAUUCUGCCCCCCACAUUUCCCACCCCAAAUUCUGCACCUGGGGCAAUUUUUGGGGGGAAUCUGGGGCAGAUUUUGGGGAUCACAGGGUUAAAUUUGGGGGGACUCUGGGGCAAUUUUCGGGGUCUCGGGCAAGUUUGGGGGUGAUGGGGCAAAUUUUAGGACUUGGGGGAAAAUUUAGGGGGGAUCUGGGGCAAAUUUGGGGUCUCUGGGUCAAAAUUUGGCUGUGGCAAAUCUGGGGUGCCGAAUUUGGGGUCCUUGACUGUUAUGUGUCCCCAUGUCCCCUCUGUUGUCCCCAUGUCCCUUAUGGUGUCCCCAUGCCCCCUCUGAUGUCCCCAUGUCCCCAUGGUGUCCCCCAUGAGCCCUGUGGUGUCCCCAUGUCCCCUCUGAUGUCCCCAUGUCCCCUCUGGUAUCCCCAUGUCCCUUAUCAUGUCCCCAUGUCUCUUAUGGUGUCCCCACGUCCCUUGCGAUGUCCCCAUGUCCCUUGUGAGUGUCCCCCCAUCCCCUACAGAUUCCCCACGUCCCCUCUGAAGCCCCCAUGUCCCCUGUGGUGUCCCCACGUCCCCUCUGAAGUCCCCAUGUCCCCUCUGAAAUCCCCAUGUCCCCUCUGAGGUCCCCAUGACCCCUCUGAUGUCCCUGUGUCCCCUCUGGUGUCCCCAUGUCCCUUAUGGUGUCCCCAUGUCCCCUCUGGUGUCCCCAUGUCCCCUCUGAUGUCCCCAUGUCACCUCUGAUGUCCCCAUGUCCCUUAUGGUGUCCCCAUGAUACCCAUGGUGUCCCCAUGCCCCCUCUGAUGUCCCCAUGCCCCCUCUGAUGUCCCUAUGUCCCCUGUGGUGUCCCCAUGCCCCCUCUGAUGUCCCCAUGCCCCCUGUGGUGUCCCCAUGUCCAUUAUGGUGUCCCCAUGACCCCUCUGAUGUCCCCAUGUCCCCUCUGGUGUCCCCAUGUCCCCUGUGGUAUCCCCAUGUCCCCUCUGAUGUCCCCAUGUCCCCCAUGGUGUCCCCAUGUCCCCUCUGGUGUCCCCAUGUCCCUUAUGGUGUCCCCAUGUCCCCUGUGAUGUCCCCACUGCCCCCACACGUCCCCCCCUCCAAGGACACCAAGGCCAAUUGCUCAGAAAUGACUUUUUUAACCAAAAAAACCCCAAAAAACCCAA